CUUACGGGUGGCAGCAGUGGGGAAUAUUGGACAAUGGGGGGAACCCUGAUCCAGCCAUGCCGCGUGUGUGAAGAAGGCCCUCGGGUUGUAAAGCACUUUCAGUGAGGAAGAACGCCUGGUGGUUAAUACCCAUCAGGAAAGACAUCACUCACAGAAGAAGCACCGGCUAACUCCGUGCCAGCAGCCGCGGUAAUACGGAGGGUGCGAGCGUUAAUCGGAAUUACUGGGCGUAAAGCGCGCGUAGGUGGCUUGAUAAGCCGGUUGUGAAAGCCCCGGGCUCAACCUGGGAACGGCAUCCGGAACUGUCAAGCUAGAGUGCAGGAGAGGAAGGUAGAAUUCCCGGUGUAGCGGUGAAAUGCGUAGAGAUCGGGAGGAAUACCAGUGGCGAAGGCGGCCUUCUGGACUGACACUGACACUGAGGUGCGAAAGCGUGGGUAGCAAACAGGAUUAGAUACCCUGGUAGUC
rnacentral:rRNA from 1 species